rnacentral:rRNA from 1 species
CCUACGGGAGGCUGCAGUGGGGAAUAUUGCACAAUGGGGGAAACCCUGAUGCAGCGACGCCGCGUGAGUGAAGAAGUAAUUCGUUAUGUAAAGCUCUAUCAGCAGGGAAGAAAAUGACGGUACCUGAGUAAUAAGCCCCGGCUAACUCCGUGCCAGCAGCCGCGGUAAUACGUAGGGGGCACGCGUUAUCCGGAUUUACUGGGUGUAACGGGAGCGUAGACGGCAGUGCAAGUCUGGAGUGAAAGGCGGGGGCUCAACCCCCGGACUGCUCUGGAAACUGUACGGCUGGAGUGCAGGAGAGGUAAGUGGAAUUCCUAGUGUAGCGGUGAAAUGCGUAGAUAUUAGGAGGAACACCAGUGGCGAAGGCGGCUUACUGGACUGUAACUGACGUUGAGGCUCGAAAGCGUGGGGAGCAAACAGGAUUAGAUACCCUAGUAGUC